UUUUGGGUUUCUUUUUGAAUUAGCUUACUUAACUUAGUUCUUUCUUGACAAUCUAGAGCAGAGUUGAAAGAGCAUGUGAAAAACCACAAAACUUCUCCAGCCCUUUUGUGUUCAAUUUGUGGUUGAGUAUUCAAAACCAGACAUCAGAUGAAUGGACAUCGCAAACAAAUCCAUUAGAAAACACAAAUUAACGAGAGGAAGAGAUGAAGGCUGAAGAUAAUCCCGUGUGGUCCAACACAAAAGCAACUGGAAAGAAGACUUCAAGUCAGAAGCCUUUCAAAUAUGAAAUCUGCCCUUACAACUCCAUUGAUGCAAGUGGUAAAGUGGCAGCAUUUACGAACACACACGAGUGAGAUGCCUUGUGAAUGUCGACUCUGUUCAUAAAGAUGGAUUCAGAAGACAAGGUUGGACCUUCUCAUGUACGCCGACAUCGCACUGGUAUAAAGGACAAAAAGCAGAUGGCGGUGGGAAUCUCUUGGCUUUCCUCUUUCCCUGCUUGCAGAACGCAUCCAUGCAAGACAGGAUGGUACCAGAAGGUGACACACGUUUUCCCUGGAAGGACUCCUACUGUGGCAAACUGACAGUAUCUGCUGUGGUUGCAUUAUGCUGCCUUCACAACUGAUGGGAAUCCCUCCUGGGACUGCAGGAACAAAGUCACUGGAAUAAUUGCCAGGUAGAGCCUUUUGAUUUUCAGUAUGAGGGCAUUUUUACAUCUGGCCUGAGAAAGUAUGUCAGUAGUCUUUCAAAAACUUUCAUUGAAAGCUUAUGUGCGUGUCCAAGGAGGCUCCUAGGGAAGCAUCCCCUAGACUUUGCUCCAGGGUACCCUCCGUGGGCAGAAGGCUACAGAAAAUUGUUUCAGCUGGUCACAAUGGUUGCGUGAGGACUUAUAUUGAAUAUAUUUCAGCAGGUGGCAAACACUGGGGCUGCAAGGUUGUAUAGGGUCUUAAAGCUGUUUGGUAGGCCAUGCACCACACUCUGCUGCUGUCUCUUUAGACAUUUUGUGGACUUGAAAAAGCCCAUUGGCUCGGAAAUUUGGAAUCAUUUCUCUGAAGCUGAAAUCAGUCAAUAGACUUCCACUUGAGUUCUUGUUUCCUCACGCCUUUACCCCCACAUUCAGGGACAGGAGCAAUGUUACCAUGACACAGUAGAUAUCUCACAAAAGUUACAAUUUAUCUUCUGCCAACUUGUUUUUGAGACUGGGAUCAAAUUAUAACACAAUUGUACAGGAUAGUAGCAGUGAUCACCAUUAGACCAUCUAAUCUUUUUUUUUUAAGAAGCCACAUAAUGCUGUUCUUCAAGGCUUUCUCCAUAAAUGCAAGGAGUGAAAGAGUUUAGUUCUAACUUGUGGUAUUUUUUUUACAAGUUUUAAGCUGGUCUUCAAAAGUGAUCCCUUUUCUCCCUGUUUUGAGUUAAUGAAUUUUAACUUCAAUACCACACAUAGUUCUGAUCACUCUCACCAAAGAAAGGUGAAUUGGAACUGGUAGAUGCAAAAUAGGGCAGUGAGAAAGAUCAGACGGACAAGGAUCCUGCUUUACAGUAGGAAAUUGAAGGGAAAGGUUUGUUUAACCUUGCAA
ensembl:lncRNA